AAAAAACAAAACCAGGUUGAUAUGAAAAAUAAAAAUAAUAAUAAAUAGAAAAAAGAAAAAAAGAAAACAUCUUUUUUCUUGAUGUAAUCCACAGAGUAACUGUUUUUUAAAAGUGUUUAUUGUAAUCCCACAAAAAUCACAAAUGCAGGUAUUUUUGUUGCCUCAGAUCUGCUGUGGAUCUGUUGCCGGUUGCAGUCUUUGUGUGUUACCGCUAAAACAACAAGGCCUAUGUCAAAUCAACAGUAGAAGGCCACUAUGUUAGGUCCAGGUGUGUGUACUUACAAUGGCUGGUUUGUCUUCACACAGUAAUUCACAUGAUUUGUCUGUGGACUGAACUGCAAGCUGUCCCACUCCAGUUUUAGUUCUAACAUUUAACCGUGUUCAAUAGAGGCGUUACUGUAGACCUGUGUAAAUUAAAUUUUUACCUACUGAAGCAACCCGUCCACACGUAUCCACAAAGAGUAGCAAAGAUAUCAGGUGCCGAAGGCUUGUAGCUAGACGAGGCCGUCAUUUCCCCCGAAUGAUGCUUAAUCUCAGGUGUUUGCUCAUUGAUGGAGUUCAGGUUGUGUAGCAGUAUAACUCAGAUCACUUUGAACUGUUUUUGUAACUGUAACACACACCACGCUGUCGAUAGACACCUAAUGUUCUACAGUGGUUCUUAACUUUUCUGAAGAGUUUGUAUUUCGAAGCUUUGUCAGGUGUGCAUCAGUCUUACAUCAGUAUUUAACUUUAGGGAAGCAUUAGUUGAUACUUGCAUUAAUUAACAUCACACUGUUAUAUUGUCUCUGUAGUCUGGUAAUUAAGCAGUCUCGCUAUCCAUUAUGAUAUCCUGUAAUAUAACGCUAGGAAGAAUUGAGGUCUUUGCAUUAACUUUAGGCCAAAAAGUCAUAGCUAAUAUAAGUCGAAUGAAUCAGGUCAGUUUAGGAUAGCUGUUGGUUGUAUUGUUGGCAUGAAAUCUCAUAGUGGUUUACUUUGGCCCUGAAGCUUUUAGGGUGAAUGGAAACAAAGAAGGUGCUAUUCUAUGUUAAUUUUCUGAUAUUAGAAUAGACCACAGUCACAGCUAUAGUUGCUCACACUAUGACGGCACCGUUCUAGACAUGUUUAACUCGGGAUGAGAGCAGGAAAUCAGAGCGAUGCAUGAGAAAUCAAUGCAAAUCAUAGGCUGUGAAAACUUCUUUGCGCCUUUACCACAGCAGAUCCAUUCCUACGCAGCUCUCUAGCUUCUCACGUUAGUUCCUUUCGAGCGAUGUGAAACAGAGACUGGGCUCGCUGCACUGCCUGCCGUGUCCACUCAGCUGGAUUGUGAGGGGUGGGUGGGGGGGUGGUUGGGGGAACUGAGAGCUGAUUCUUUUUUUUUUUUGCUAACAACCAUGUUGUUUUGAAAUGUAGGUGAACUGUACUGCUGAUCAACAUGGAUUUGAGCAAUAAAAAUUCUUU
ensembl:lncRNA